GCUUGCAACAUGGCCAGCUGCCACAGGGGGGAGCAACAUGCAGAGCAGGCAGGGCAUGACAAUGGGUUUGAUUAUUGUCCGGUGGCAUACAGCAGGAAGGCAGACUAUAUUGAUAAUCUGUCCAGUUUGCACACAUGUAGCUCCAUCCCACUCUGUAGAGAGUCACCCAUUACCAGCAUACACACAGGACAGUGGUUGGAUUCCAUAGGCGGAACUGGGGGGAGCAGGCAGGGCAUGUGCCCUGGGCGCCACUGAGGUGGAGGUGCCACACCAGUUCCUGCCACCCUCCACCCCAUUGCCCACCUGCCCAGCCCCAGGGCCCCUCAGCUACUUGCCUCCAGCUCCGGCCUAGGAUCGGCAACGAGGCCUAGGAUCGGAGCAGCCUACAAAAUGCAAAGGUCUUCUCUCCCCGCCUCUCAGCUAAUCGGCGGGUGGGCGGGGCUUCCUCUGAGUAGGCCUCCCUGAAGCCUGAACUCGGCAGGCCCCAGAAAGCCAGGAAGGGGGCUGGCAGACCCUCCCUGCAGCAGACCAGACCAGACCAGACCAUCCAGUACAGCUUUUGCAAGUGCAUCGGACGGGCAAGGAGUGGACUGCGGACGGAGCGGAGGAAGGAAGAAGGAUUUGGCCGGGCCAGCCCAGCGAUGACGGACAAGCAAGAGGAGUCAGAGGACAAACAAUUUAACAAUAGCACCUCUGCUGAGCUGACUGGAAGAACUGCAGGCACAACCAACCAGCGCUUAGUAGCAACUACAAGCCUUCUAAUGGCCCAAAUGAAGCAGAGAUGUGCAUUUCCAUGAUUAUCAAAAAAAGCUGACAGCAUUGCUAGGGUGAGUCCUGCACCCAGAAAAACACUGGGACAGCAGUGGAGCAGGCAAACAGGUGGUGUCUGUGAAUGGAAGAUUCAUCAGCCCUGCAGAGACGGAUCCCCCGAAGUUCUAAGCAGGGAGCGGCCGCCACGUCACCACCCCCAGCAGCCCUCCUGCCUGCCUGCCUCGCUCCGGUCUCUUGCUUCCUCUUCUUGCUCUGGGUUGCCGCCGGGACUCCUGCUCUGGUGAAAGUGCUAUGAGCAGCUAACUGGCUCACGUUCAAAAGAUGCUUUUUUAAUGAACUUCCAGAACCUUAUAACUGACUGCCGCAGAAGAUUAUAUGGACCUGAUUCAGCAAAGCAAUCAUCAUCAUCAUCAUCAUCAUCAUUAUUUUUUAAAGGUUCCCAGUGUUUACAUAUUUCCCCAGCUUUGGGUCCCCAGAUGUUGUGAACAUAAGAACAGCCCUGCUGGAUCAGAACCAAGGAGGCCUCUCUAGACCAGCAUCCUGUUUCCUACAGUGGCCCACCAGAUGCCUUUGGGAAGCCACAUCACCAGGAGUUGAAGGAACACCCACUCUUCUCCGCUGCUCUCCUGCAGCCUUUAUUUGGAGGAAUCCUGCCUCUGAGCAUGGAACACUGUGGGACGACCACUCCCAUCAUCCCCUGCCAUGUUGUGGUUGUUGGAAGUGAAGGACUUUGCGCAGUCUCUUGUCUCAAUGACAGUGGAGGACAGACGAGUGACAGACGAGAGGGCUAGAGGGUCAAGACAUUGGUCAUCCCUUCUCUACUGCUCUGACACUAUCCCUUUGGAAUGUAGAUUGCUAAUCUUAGGGAGUUCCUUCCUUCCAGUCACUUCCUUUCUCUCUCUUCUCUUCCUGUUCCUUUUACCUUGCAGCAUGCAAGCUCCUCUCCCCUGCACCAUGUGUGCAGAGAUGCAGAAUCCAUCUGUAUCCAGCUAGAUAGAUAGAUUAGAGACCCUAACUCCUCACUUUCCUAUCUAGAAUGGAGUUCUCUAAUAAAUACCAUUUAUA